CUAACUCACAAACCAUGAGAUCAUGAUCUGAGCCGAAGUCAGAUGCCCACCCGACCAAGUCUCCCAGUUUAAGUUUUUAAAUAGCAUGAAGCGAUAUAUAAUUAAAUUUGGCUAAGACGUUCCCCUGCCCCCAACGUGUUCAUACCUCUUCUACCUUGUGGAACAAAACUUUACUUGACUUGCUAGUUUCUCUCAUGUCUUUUAUUUUCCUUACUCUUAAAUAUUGGAUCGCAAGGUAGAUUGUCAUGUGUUUGUUUAGUAUCCAUAGCCCAGCUAUGAGUGAUUUGGGCGGGGAAGCCAUGAUUUACAUUCUUUCAUGCCACCACACAAUGAAGCGUCUUACUCAUAAGCAUUCUCCAAGCGUGUCGGUGCCCCGAGAGCCAGGAUUUACCUGUGUGAUCACUGCCCUCUCCCUCACUCUGGGAACAGUGCCUGGCACCAGUCAUACUCAAUGAACAUUUGUUGAACGAAUAGAACAUCAGAUGAAUACCAUAUAUUGCCUGGAUGAGAUAAGAGCAGCCCUUUUGUGAGCGAGGAGCAGCGGUCCGACAUCUGGGUUACUGGCAAUGCCAAGCAGAAAUCACAUCAAGGUGAAUCCCAUGCCAAGCUCUGAAGCAGAGGGUUGUAGACACCUGAGCUGUGGACGGGAGACGCCCUGAAGUUUAACCCAUGAGGACCUCCCGCCAUUUCCUCAGCUGACUACUUUCUCGGAUCCUUUCAAAGAGGCGUUUCCUAGUGAUGGUCAGACAGCAGAAACCCGUCACAUCCAUGAGCCUAAUGUAAGCUUCAUAAGGAGAGCGCUGGGAGUUUCUCUUGUUUACCACCCAUCGAGUCCCUGGCAGAAAGUAGAUACUCAACAAAUAAGAGCCAAAUGAGAGAAUAAAUGGGGUCACCAGGUUGCCAGUGGAAUCCCUGCCACCUUCUAGCGGCCAGACUGCUGUCUCAGACUGUAUGGAUACUGUUCUGUGUUCUUAUCGACUGAAGGGGAGAACCACAGCUGGGCUGAAGUUCUCCGCGCAGCUCCUGGGACUUUUGAGUUCUCGUGAGGUGAUCACUGGUCUCACUCCUCUUGUUUGAUCUCCCCCGGACUCUCUGCUAAGUUAAGGUCCAUUCCCUACCACACCCACUGUCUUCUUUCUCGAGAUUCUUAGCUUCUGGUCUUUGUGUGAAACACGUGGCUCUCUCCAAGUGAAGCCCAGAAAGCUACAUGGUGGAGGGAAGGUUGUGGGCCGUUAGCUCCUGAGCUGCUGCUCCAGAGCCAGAGUCUCUUAGCAUGGUCCACCUGCGCUCGAUGCAGUUUCAUGAUGAGAUCAAGGAGCAGGUCAUCUGGACUGGUUGGGAUGGUUUCAGAAGAAGCCUGAAUACUUGCUGAAGCAGUCCACCUCUGCUUUUGCAAGUCCUCCGGAACUUUGUACCUUGAGAGCUGGCUCAGAGGCAGCCGAGGAGCCGGCCUGGAGACUCCCCUUUCUCUAGAGAGCGGGACUACAGCUUGCUGGCUGAGCCACAGAGCCUCAAGGCCGCUCUACCUGUGUGCCCUGCUCAUGCUCCGCCCCCAGCCACUCCCUCGCCGGGCCUGUGCUGAAUCAGCAGCAUACCCCUUGCUCUCUUGGCAUCGUGCAGCCCGGCUAAGCCAAGUGUGGUUACAAUGAGUCGGUUCAUCUGGAAGCUCGCAUCCUGUACCCUUUUCCAAUGUGAUGUUCCAGCCAACUGGCACCCAAGAGUAAAGAAAAACCCUGGGAACCGAGGCUGCUGAGGACUUACAGCCUUGCACAAGCCAAGGGCAAGGGCAACAUUGAGGGGAAGGUCGCCCUGCUGCCAGGCCUUUCUCUCUACUCCAUCUUGGUUCCUGUCUAGCAGCACAUGGCCCUGGCUGGCAGUCAGCGAUCCGCUGCUGGUACUUGUUGGUGGCUUGGCUGUCCUCCAUCUAGCCAGGGCAUUUGGACCUUUUUUCUAAUUCUGCUUAUGAGCUCAGGAAGUGAGCCAGUAGGUUCCCUUGGAAAUUGCCUCUAUUGAUGUCAUUUUCCAUCCUAGUCCCCGGGGGAAUCUGUUUCUCUAUUUCCUCCACAUUGACACUACUCUUGCCCUUGGCUCAAAUACAGAAGCCUCAGGUAGCACCAAUGCCAUGGGGAGGGGAAGGGAUGGGGGGGCACGUGUAAGGGACGGAGGUCACGGGGCACUUGGGUGGCUCCGUUGGUUAAGUAUCCGACUCUUGAUUUCAGCUCAGGUUAUGAUCUUGCGGUUCCUGAGUUUGAGCCCCACAUCAGGGUCUGCACGCACAGCACAGAGCCUGCCUUGGAUCUUCUGUCUCCCUCUCUCUGCCCCUCCCUGACUCGAACUCGUACUCUGUCUCUCAAGAACAAAAAAAUGUUAAAAAAAACUUAAAGAUGGAGGCGGUAAAAUGUUUACAUCUGGUCAAAGUGAUAGAUGAAGCUUUGAGCCCCCAGGGUUGUAAAGUCACCCAAGGAGGGAGGGAGUCACAGGCUUAUUUCUUAGCCCCCGGACUGACUGGCUAUGGCUUUUGUCAGGAACUCUCUGGCACAUCUGUGAGCACCAGUGUUUACAUUGGUUAUGGGCUGAAUCACACCCCACCCUCCGCCCACACAUUCAUAUGAAAUCUUAGCUAUCGGUACCUCAGCAUAGCUCUGUAUUUGGAAAUUGAGUCUUUUAAAAGGUAAUUAAGGUACAAAUGAGGUCAUAUAGAUGAGCCCUAAUCCAGUAUGACCGGUGUCCUUAUAAGUGGACAUGUGGACACAGACAGGCAUGGAGAAAAGACCACAUGAAGACAGAGGAGAAGGUGGUUGUCUGCAAGACAAGCAGAGCAACCCUGAGAAGAUACCAAUCUUAUCGACAUUCCUGUUCUUAGACGCCUACCUCCAGUGUUGCGGGAAAAUAAAUUCCCAUUGUUUAAACCA